GAUUUGAGCGCUGUCUCAACAAUGCACCCGGUGAAAUUGAAAUACCAGUGAAGAUGCUGGUUACCUGCGCCAGGACGGAAAGACCCCAUGGAGCUUUACUCCAGUUUGAUACUGGGAUUCGGUAUUGCAUGUACAGGAUAGGUGGGAGGCUUUGAAACAUGGACGCCAGUCUGUGUGGAGCCAAUGUUGGGAUACCACCCUUGCGAUAUUGGGUUUCUAACCUGCGCCCGUGACCCGGGCGGGGGACAAUGUCAGGCGGGGAGUUUGACUGGGGCGGUCGCCUCCGAAAGGGUAUCGGAGGCGCUCAAAGGUUCCCUCAGGAUGGUUGGAAACCAUCCAAAGAGUGCAAAGGCAUAAGGGAGCUUGACUGCGACACCGACGGGUGGAGCAGGUACGAAAGUAGGACUUAGUGAUCCGGUGGUAUGAAAGUGGGAUUGCCAUCGCUCAACGGAUAAAAGCUACCCUGGGGAUAACAGGCUUAUCACUCCCAAGAGUUCACAUCGACGGAGUGGUUUGGCACCUCGAUGUCGGCUCAUCGCAUCCUGGGGCUGUAGCAGGUCCCAAGGGUUGGGCUGUUCGCCCAUUAAAGCGGUACGCGAGCUGGGUUCAGAACGUCGUGAGACAGUUCGGUCCCUAUCCGGCGCGGGCGUAGGAUAUCUGAGAGGAGCUGUCCUUAGUACGAGAGGACCGGGAUGGACAGACCGCUGGUGUACCUGUUGGCCUACCAAGGCCAUGGCAGGGUAGCCAAGUCUGGACGGGAUAAACGCUGAAGGCAUCUAAGCGUGAAGCCCCCCUCAAGAUGAGAUAUCCCAUCGCGAAAGCGAGUAAGACCCCUUGAAGACGACGAGGUAGAUAGGUUAGAGGUGGAAGUGCAGUAAUGUACGGAGCUGACUAAUACUAAUCGGUCGAGGGCUUAUCCAG
rnacentral:rRNA from 1 species